GACGAACGCUGGCGGCGCGCCUAACACAUGCAAGUCGAACGGAGCUGAGAGAAGCUUGCUUUUCUUAGCUUAGUGGCGAACGGGUGAGUAACGCGUGAGUAACCUGCCCUGGAGUGGGGGACAACAGUUGGAAACGACUGCUAAUACCGCAUAAGCCCACGAUCCGGCAUCGGCUUGAGGGAAAAGGAUUUAUUCGCUUCAGGAUGGACUCGCGUCCACUUAGCUAGUUGGUGAGGUAACGGCCCACCAAGGCGACGAUGGGUAGCCGGACUGAGAGGUUGGACGGCGACAGCGGGACUGAGACACGGCCCAGACUCCUACGGGAGGCAGCAGUGGGGGAUAGUGCACAAUGGGGGAAACCCUGAUGCAGCGACGCCGCGUGGAGGAAGAAGGUUGUCGGAUUGUAAACUCCUGUUGUUAGGGACGAUAAUGACGGUACCUAAUAAGAAAGCACCGGCUAACUACGUG
rnacentral:rRNA from 1 species